ensembl:lncRNA
UUUUUAAAGGCUGCACAAGCACAGACUAUUCUUGGAAGCAACAUCCCUGUUGGGCUGUCUUCAAAACCACAGAACAUAUAUUCUCAUUCAGAAAGGAAAGGUGGCCUUACAAGAGGACUUGCAUGACACCUUUUUUGGAGAAUAUGUGCCAUAUAAGUGAAAGCCAACUGCCUAAAUUCAGCUGAAUCCUUUCUACUGCCUCUGUGGGUGUUUUUCUAAGAGGCACAGUAUAACUCAUGCCAAACGUAUGGAUAACCUGAAACGGCUGAUAAAGCAUCUUUAAAGCUAAGUUCUAUUAGCAUGAAAUGAUUUUGUAAAACUGUAUGUAGCAUGUGUUGAGGAAGCGUUCCCCCAGUCUCACUAAGGAAAUAACAUUUAUUACCACAAACCAGAUGUGAUGUGCUAUGCUGGGAUGACCGUUGUUGAUUCAGGGAGAGAAGGAAACAAAAGCAGGUCAUUUAAACAGAUAAACAGUGCAGAGUCAUGUAAAGGAAACUGAGAAGGGAAUGUAGAAGGACUUGUGAUAUUUCUUCAUGCAAAUAUAGUACACACUAAAGUUCCUUUUAAAAUAUAAGCUGCACACAAAUAUCUCACAAGUAAAAUGUCACUAUGUCUGUUAUCAAUACUUUAAGCAAGAUCAGAAUCAGCUCAAGAUUUCCCAGAGUAAAUUUACUGCAAUCCAUACUGCACUGACAUUUCUGACAUCUUAGUGCUGCUUUUCCUUGACAUAAUGCAGCAGUCAGCCUAGGAAAAAAGAACCAUGUCCACUAUAAUAAUUUUGUAAAAACUUACCAGAAAUUGUUUUUUUGUUGUAGCACUUCUGUUUUUUUUUUUUGUUUGUUUGUUUGUUUUUUUUUUUUUCCCCAACAGUGUCAUAUAAGGAAUAGAAUGUUUUCUUUAGCAGAACAUCUUUCCCAUUUGGUGUUCUCAAUCCCGUAUUUAAACAAUACAUUUCUCUCCGUUCUGCUGUAAACUGAUGGCAUAUUUUCAGUGCUCUGUACUUAUAAUGUGUUGCUUUAAUAAUAAAGUCAACCCUGGUCAUUAAUCUGCAAGAACAAGGGAAGGGGCAUAUGGUUACUUAGUUAUCCUGAGCUGCUGUGGUGAAGGAAUUUUAAGAAAGAACAAUUUUUAGGAGUGAAAUUUUUUCAAAGUAAAAUACUAAUGUUCAAUCUAAACAGCAGCUGUCUGAGCUGUGUGCACUGUCCGUAGACUGCAUCCACUGUUAUGAGUGUGAGCAAGCUCAUUAAAGGUCGGAUUAAUCACGAGUGAUAGCUCAUUUGUUUCAGGAAGCAUAGGGGUAAUUAAUACUUAUAAACAGUUAUAAUUAUUUUUCUAUCUUUUCAUUGUGCUCCAUCUCUUUGAUUUCUUCUGAG